rnacentral:misc_RNA from 1 species
GAUGAAGAACGUAGCAAAAUGAGAUAAGUAAUGUGAAUUGCAGAAUUCAGUGAAUCAUCGAAUCUUUGAACGCACAUUGCGCCCGCUAGUAUUCUGGCGGGCAUGUCUGUCCGAGCGUCAUUUCAACCCUCAAGCCCCCGGGCUUGGUGUUGGGGAUCGGCGAGCCUCCGCGCCCGCCGUCCCCUAAAUCUAGUGGCGGUCUCGCUGUAGCUUCCUCUGCGUAGUAGCACACCUCGCACUGGGAAACAGCGCGGCCACGCCGUUAAACCCCCAACUUCUGAACGUUUGACCUCGGAUCAGGCAGGAAUACCCGCUGAACUUAAGCAUAUCAAUAAGCGGAGGA